CCACCUGGGCUGAGUGACAUCUGCCUGGCAUUCACAGCAUGGAGGAUGUUCAGAAUGGCUCUCACCUGAGUACUGUGCAUGUAAGCUUCCUCCAGGGGUUUUCAUGAUGCGAUAGGGUUUCCAGCUUCAUGGCAGAGUUUUCUGAAACAAGUUACAGCAUUCCGAUAGGGCAGGUACACCUGAGCCAGGGUGUGACCCAGGCACUGAUGUCCUCAUGGCCAUGAAGAAAGGACUGACUGCAGGAGGGAAAGUACCACUGACACAGACUUUGUGCUGCACAGACUCCAGCCUCUGUGGCUUUGUCUCCAUGGGAAAGAGCCACCUUCACCUGCAGGGCCGUUCAGAGUGUUGGUAGCUCCUUAGCCUGAUACCAGCAGAAGCCUGAGCAGGCUCUCAGAUACCACAUCUAUGGUGCAUCCAGCAGGGUCAGUGGCAUCCCAGCCCGGUUCAGUGGCAGUGGGUCAGGGACAGACUAUACCCUGUCCAUCAGCAGCUUGAAGGCUGGGGAUUCUGCAGUUUAUUACUGUGUGCAAGGACAUACAUAUUGCCAC